UCUAGUUGAUUUAGAUACAUUGUUUUGAUUCGACUUCUCUUUUUUAAUUUAUUUAAAUAAUUAACAAACUGCAAUGUUUUUACACGAUGAACUGUUAAACAUCAUGUAUGUAUGUAUGUUAUCAGUGCAGAGCAAAUCUUUACGGGGCCUCCUGGAUGUAAACAUUCACGAGAGGCAUUGUGGGAAGGCCAGAGAAUGGCGAAAUCAAAUUGUGAUGUGUACAUUUUAUCACCGUAUGUAGACAUGUAUAUUCAUUGUACAGCUACGAGCACAUGAACUGCCCUCGAUUACGCAUUUGGAGCAUUAGUCAAUACUAACGAAGGAUAUAUUGUUGUCUGAAUCGUUUACCAUGUUUCGACUACGAGAAAAUUCUGACGGUCAUAUUUGCAAUGGAUUGAUAAACACAUAAAGAUACAGUGCAGAUAUAUUUAUAAACUGUCCCCAGUGAUAUUGUAACUAGUAAGGAAAAGUUAAUGGUGACACUUUAAUGUGUGAUGGAAUUGGACGUUGCUAAAAAGUGCAGAGGGGAUUUAAGAAGCUAUCUGGGCCAUAUCAGGCAGUACUCUAAGCGUUUCAGUAGGUGUUCGGCGUGGGAAUCAGAACACGUGAGACCGCGCUGUACGUACAUGGGUGUUCCACGUGGUGGACUUGGCAAUUAUUUUGUGGGCCUAGUGUUGUCAUUAGUGUAGUUGGCGUUAUACCCAGUAUCGUUGUUCAGUGAGAGACCUGUGAGUCCGGGACUGGAAGCGGAGGGGCUAUUCGCGCUGUAUGGAGGCCUGGUUGUGCCAAGUGUGACGUGGCGUUAAAUUGAAUUGUGCUGAGUAGCCAAACUUUCAUAUUGAGUUUCAGUAAAUUAAACAUUUUAUCAAAAAGGAAUUUGAGAAAUUUGUACAAAACGUAAUUUACUACUGUUUAACCUUUUCUGUAGUUAGCGGAAUUAGCUACUAUUUGAACCAUUAUGUAAUACAUUUAUUACCAGUUAUAUUUUCAGCCUGGAAUGACAUAUUUGUUGUAUUAACUAUUGGAUUGUCUUGACAGUUAUACGUUAUAUUGAUUGUCAAUAUUGCCAGGUUUAUUAUACCAAUUUAUAUUUUCUUUCUCGGUGAGAGAGUAUGGGUGUGUGAAUGUGAAAGUGUGAUUUCUUUGUUUUUCAAACAUCUCUAUAUUUCUUAUCUUAUUGCAAAAUAAAUUUUCUUUUUAUUUAU